UCAUAAUGGUGCCCUGCUUUGGUGCAAUGC
rnacentral:piRNA from 1 species